rnacentral:miRNA from 1 species
UUUGCAUUUGUCACUACUCCGCCU